GACGAACGCUGGCGGCGUGCCUAACACAUGCAAGUCGAGCGGUAAGGCCCUUUCGGGGUACGACGAGCGGCGAACGGGUGAGUAACACGUGGGUGACCUGCCCUUAGCUCUGGGAUAAGCCUGGGAAACGUGGGUCUAAUACCGGAUAUGACUCCAUGACGCAUGUUGUGGGGUGGAAAGCCUUGUGCGGCUAGGGAUGGGCCUGCGGCCUAUCAGCUUGUUGGUGGGGUGAUGGCCUACCAAGGCGACGACGGGUAGCCGGCCUGAGAGGGCGACCGGCCACACUGGGACUGAGACACGGCCCAGACUCCUACGGGAGGCAGCAGUGGGGAAUCUUGCGCAAUGGGCGAAAGCCUGACGCAGCGACGCCGCGUGGGGAUGACGGCCU
rnacentral:rRNA from 1 species